UGAGACAUAGUCUUUUAGGGAUUUGGGG
rnacentral:piRNA from 1 species